rnacentral:ncRNA from 1 species
UACCCACGUCAGGGGAGUCCCGCCUAGGGGACUGAGAGGCUGACAGGGCGCUGUUUCGCACAGGCCCGGUGACGCGACCCUUUGAACCUGACCCAGUUGACGCUGGCGUAGGAAGACCGAAGGGCAAUCCC